UCCGUAGGCGGGUAAUUAAGUCAGAGGUGAAAUCCCACAGCUUAACUGUGGAACUGCCUUAGAUACUGGUUGUCUUGAGUUUUAGUGAAGUAGAUAGAAUGUGUAGUGUAGCGGUGAAAUGCAUAGAUAUUACACAGAAUACCGAUUGCGAAGGCAGUCUACUAACUAACAACUGACGCUAAUGGACGAAAGCGUGGGGAGCGAACAGGAUUAGAUACCCUGGUAGUCC
rnacentral:rRNA from 1 species